GCCCACUAUCCACACGAUAGCUUUCCAGAGUUGUCUCCCCAAUAACGCCUCUCACCUCUUCCUCCCGAAAGAUCGAGUGGGCGGGCAUCAUCUUCAUCCACCGCUUAGUUCUAUUUUGCCUAAUCCAAUCGCUUUGACGGAGCUGCCAGGGAGAGCAAAUCCCCAACGCCUCUCCCGCUAUCGCCCGACCUACCUCCAGCUCUCCUCCUACCACUCCUUGUCCGCCUCUCCACCGCAUCACUGGGUGGCGUGGUUCCUGGCAGGGCAGCGGCCUCAGCGGGGACGGCAGCAUGCGGCGGCCUCGGGGCGGAGCACGCGCGGGCCAGGGACGGCGACCGACGGGCGGGGCAGGUGCGUGCCGGCGGCGACGCCAUUGGGACGGAGAAGGCACGGUCCUGGGACGACGUUGGGGCGGCGGCAGCGAUCUUGGGGCAGAGCACGCGCGGGCUGGCGGCGGCCACGUUGGGGUGGAGCAGGCAGGGACCUGCGGCGGCCCCGUCGGAGUUGAGCAAGCAAGCAAACAGAGGCGUCCGACGCGGAUUACGGGAGCCGGUCGUGGUCGUCGCCCCUGGUGCGUUGCUCGCUGCCGCGCCAUGGAGGUUGCCACAAGUGUACACACGGCGGUGCCCUCUACAGCAGGCAACCCGCGCCUCCUCGGCCCCGCGGCGGACUCAGCCCUCUCGGUUCCCCGGCGGCCGGAGCGUCUUCCGAUGCCCUGCAGCCGGCACGUCCGUGACAGCCGACGGCUCCUCGCCUCCCAUACCGCUGGGUGUCCUCUGAUGCGCGGCGGCCGGCGUCUGCUCUGAUGUGCGACGUACGCUGCGUCCUUGGCUCCCCGGCAGUUAGAGCUUCAUCUGAUGCGCGGCGGUCGAUGCCUCCUUGGCUCCCCGGUGACCGGUUACUUCUUCAUGGCGAGCUGCAGCUGCAGUGAUUGUCGGCAUGUCUGGACUCCACAGCAAGCGGUAGCGGAAGAUGGCUCUACAUCGGCGAAGAGGAGGGGCGCGAGGUUGACAGCUGUGACGGAGUGGACAACAUGACCGUGUGCUCACCGGUGACGUAGUCGGCGGUAAGAGCAAUAGUGGCGGCACCACUUCGACGCUUUGCAACUGUGGUUCUCCUCCGAUACCUGCAUUAUCUCUCCCUAUGAAUCCCCCUUGCAGGCCCUCUCCCCUCGCGAUUUCUCUAUGGCAAAUAUUGUUCUCCUCUUCUUCCCUGAAUCAGGCGAUGUCUGCAGGCCAGACUCCACUAUAGAGCAAAUCCUUGAUAUUCAAGCUAAGCGGUCAAUUUUGAGAUGGUAUAUGCAAGACCUACCGCGAGGCCAAGAUCCAACACAGAAAAAGAACCGCAAAGACAACCAUGGUAUAAAUUAUCUGGAUUGAUAGGUAUUGCUACAUGGACCGUAAAUAUGGUGAAGGUAUAAUGCAUAAAGAUUGGGAAACAAACCUCUUGGAUUUGGUUGAGAAAUAUUAUCUAUAAUUUCAAAAGAUGGGAUUGAAAUCUGUAGCUGAGUCAUCAUUUGCUUACUCUUGGAUGUGUUCGCUUCUCAGAUUUCAUGUACAGGUAAAAUUUGGUUUCAGAUAACCAGCUUUCUGUCAUAGACCUCUUCUAGGUGCUGAAGACAUACUAAUAUGUUCUGUACUGAUCAUAGCUGUUAAAGAAUUUGCUUUGCUCUAUAGAAUAAAUUUUCACGUGAAGAGAUAUCUUGCCUGUAGGUCAACCACCAAAACCAAACUACUAAAUUUGUUUCUGAGAUUUUAUCCUAGAUUAUCAUAUAUCUAUGCCACUAGAACCUCCUUAUUUAAUUUGCAUCUUAGACUUCCAUACCUAAAACAAAAUCAAACGUUUCUCAUAUUUGAGGAUGUCAUAUAGCAUGCUCCGAGGUAUUCCAUACCUAAAACAAAAUCAAACGUUUCUCAUAUUUGAGGAUGUCAUAUAGCAUGCUCCAAGGUAUAGUGGUAUGGUUAGUAAAUGUAUGGUUACUGUACAUUGCCAUAGAUGAAUAUUCACCCUGAUUUACACUGGCACAAUUUGGUUGUUUAAGCACAACAAGUGGUAUGGCAUCUACACUCUUUUCUUGGUACAACAAAGUCUUCUGGAUAAUUCUAGGUAAAUUCUUAGAAGCCUUGUUCUUAUAUGUGUGAGUGUAGAUAGUGUUAUGCUAUACCAGGUUCAGAUUAAGAUUAGUCUGAUGCAAAAGACUGUAGACAUACUUACAAAUCUAUCGUUAAUGCUUAGUGUUAUUUAUUAUUUUCUCGGUGCUGCCUGCUUCUCUGCUCCAUUCGCUGCCUAUUUAUUAUCUUUAUUUGCCAUGCCAGCACAAAGAUGUAGUAUCUGGCUGGAAAAAAUUGUGCAGGCAUCCACAUAAUUAGUAUACCCAUUUUGUAUAUGGUUCUUAGACUUAUUUAGGUCAGGUAAAACUCCUUUUGGCAUAUGAUGUGCAGGCAAAAGUUAUUCAUUUGGUGUUUCACUGGCUGACAUGUAAAUUGCUAUAUUUUCAUAUUAUCUAUGGCCAUUAAUGUGAAAAUUGGAGGAUAGGUUCAACCUUUUCUUCCUAUUCCCUCGGUAUGAUAGUAUAUUUGUUCUCAUUGGUUGAUUUUUCAACUUAGCAGCGCAUCAAAGCUAUGAAAAGAAGGCAUGGCAGGGUCUCCACAGGACAACCAUUGUCGAAUGCAUCUUGCAUCUGGUAUCUCCUCCCUUUGCUAUUUCUGUAUUAAUUGAUUUAUUUGUUCCUGUUCGAUUGGGGUCUUUCUCACUGAUUCGUCAGUUUUGUUUCCAUAUGGGUAUAUGCUUGCGUAUGGCCUUGACAACAACACUAGACUGGUGCACUCUUAAAAAAACCCGCCAGAGAAUUACUUCGCGUUCCAGUUUCUAGAUGUGAACAUAUUAAAAUAUCGGAUGUGACCAUCUCCCUCUCACCGGUUCACUACUUUCCCUCCGGUUCACUACUUCCCUUCAUGAACUCUUAUUUCUCUAAAUCCUUGGAUAUAUGUUGUAGGAUCAAACACCCAAAAAAUUGAAUCCCAAAAAGUGGGCUUUAUUAAAGCAUUGAUUCAUAAUAACCUUCUAAAUAUUCCAAAAUCUGAAAAUUGUUACUUGAAUGAAAUUAUUAAUGUCUUGUUUGUUCAUAGAUGUCCAAGUGGUACUCAUCUUUUGUUUUCUGUUUCUGUCUUGCAGCUAGCUGUUUAAUUACUUUUUAUGAUGCUUUCUCUAAUAUACAAUGGUACACGUUUGCUGUGUGUUUGGCACGUAAAAGGAAGAUAAGUCUGUAGCUUGAUGAUGAGUUUUCAGCUCCCAGUGCAGAUUUCUUCAAGUUUGGGGAUUUGUAAUCACCAGGAGAAUAAACCUACAAUUCACUUCCGCAUGCAUGCAUCUCUAUAGCAUAUGUUGUUGACUGAAUCAAGAAAUUUCCUUCUUCAUGUCGCAUAAUAACACUAUGAAACCAAGUUGUUUACAGGAGAUCAUCGUAACUUAGAAAACCUAAAAGAUUACUGCUAGCUGCAUGAUUAUCAGAAAAGCCUAACACAAAUUCUAUCACUUGGGAGGCUUCUCAUUGUUUAGCAUUGAUGUUUAGAUCAUUGUUAGAUGGCUCAACUAUUUAGAGUAUUGUUUGCUUAGCAGGUUAAACUGAUACAGUAAAACACAAACUCUGUCAUAUGUUUUACAAAUGCUGAGCCUGACCAAAAUCAGUUGAGUUAGAAGGGCAUCAACUCUUUUUCUACUAGAGUAUUGUUUGCUUUGCAGGUUAAACUGAUACAGUUAAACACAAACUCUGUCAUAUGUUUUACAAAUGCUGAGCCUGACCAAAAUUAGUUGAGUUAGAAGGGCAUCAACUCUUUCUCUAUUAACAACUUUAUUUGCUCUAAUUGAUGAUCAAUUUUUUCUCGAUAUCUCAAGGCAUGGAAGGCCAAAUGAUGCCAAAGGAAGUUAUGCAGUAAUGCUCUCCGUGCCAGUUCGGAAAGUAGCAUCAGUUGGCAAUUAUGGAUGUUGUUGUUGCAUGUUGUAUCAAAUUUAUUUGUGUGUAGGCAGUAAUUUGUCAAUGAUAUCUAUGCAUUUUCUGUUCUUAUAUCUUCCACGUACCUCUUAUGUAGAGUACCCUUGGGUGAGGAUAUAGUUGUGGUCUUCCUAUUUUUGGUGGAAGUAAUGAAUUAUGAAGAAUAAAUUUUAAAUUUUAAAUAUCCA